CACUAUUCGGUAAAGGGCCUGUCCCACGAGCAUGCAACUCCAUGCGGCAAGUGCUACCUAACGUAGUCGCUUGAGACAUACGGCCUCGCGGGGCCGGUCCCACUUCGAUCGUCGGAGCCGUAUGGAGUUGUGCGGAGCUGGU